rnacentral:rRNA from 1 species
UCUACGGGAGGCAGCAGUAGGGAAUCUUCCGCAAUGGACGAAAGUCUGACGGAGCAACGCCGCGUGAGUGAAGAAGGUUUUCGGAUCGUAAAACUCUGUUGUUAGGGAAGAACAAGUGCCGUUCGAAUAGGGCGGCACCUUGACGGUACCUAACCAGAAAGCCACGGCUAACUACGUGCCAGCAGCCGCGGUAAUACGUAGGUGGCAAGCGUUGUCCGGAAUUAUUGGGCGUAAAGCGCGCGCAGGUGGUUUCUUAAGUCUGAUGUGAAAGCCCACGGCUCAACCGUGGAGGGUCAUUGGAAACUGGGGAACUUGAGUGCAGAAGAGGAAAGUGGAAUUCCAAGUGUAGCGGUGAAAUGCGUAGAUAUUUGGAGGAACACCAGUGGCGAAGGCGACUUUCUGGUCUGUAACUGACACUGAGGCGCGAAAGCGUGGGGAGCAAACAGGAUUAGAUACCCUGGUAGUCCACGCCGUAAACGAUGAGUGCUAAGUGUUAGAGGGUUUCCGCCCUUUAGUGCUGCAGCUAACGCAUUAAGCACUCCGCCUGGGGAGUACGGUCGCAAGACUGAAACUCAAAGGAAUUGACGGA